rnacentral:rRNA from 1 species
GACGAACGCUGGCGGCGUGCCUAAUACAUGCAAGUAGAACGCUGAAGGAGGAGCUUGCUUCUCUGGAUGAGUUGCGAACGGGUGAGUAACGCGUAGGUAACCUGCCUGGUAGCGGGGGAUAACUAUUGGAAACGAUAGCUAAUACCGCAUAAGAGUAGAUGUUGCAUGACAUUUGCUUAAAAGGUGCAAUUGCAUCACUACCAGAUGGACCUGCGUUGUAUUAGCUAGUUGGUGGGGUAACGGCUCACCAAGGCGACGAUACAUAGCCGACCUGAGAGGGUGAUCGGCCACACUGGGACUGAGACACGGCCCAGACUCCUACGGGAGGCAGCAGUAGGGAAUCUUCGGCAAUGGACGGAAGUCUGACCGAGCAACGCCGCGUGAGUGAAGAAGGUUUUCGGAUCGUAAAGCUCUGUUGUAAGAGAAGAACGAGUGUGAGAGUGGAAAGUUCACACUGUGACGGUAUCUUACCAGAAAGGGACGGCUAACUACGUGCCAGCAGCCGCGGUAAUACGUAGGUGGCAAGCGUUAUCCGGAUUUAUUGGGCGUAAAGAGAGUGCAGGCGGUUUUCUAAGUCUGAUGUGAAAGCCUUCGGCUUAACCGGAGAAGUGCAUCGGAAACUGGAUAACUUGAGUGCAGAAGAGGGUAGUGGAACUCCAUGUGUAGCGGUGGAAUGCGUAGAUAUAUGGAAGAACACCAGUGGCGAAGGGGCUACCUGGUCUGCAACUGACGCUGAGACUCGAAGCAUGGGAGCGACAGG